ACAAUACUCUAGUACCUGAAAAUAUUGGUGAUGUUAUAAUUAUGAGAAAGUAUGGCAAGAUGUAAGUAAUUUCCAAUGUACUGUAUAUACCAGGAAUGAAAAGCAAUUUGCUCAACAUAUGACAGUUGUUCGAAAAGAACUAUAAAGUGUCGGUCGAAGACAAGAUGAUGAGAGUUCUCGACUUAGGUGGAAGGUUAAUCUUGAAG
rnacentral:lncRNA from 1 species